GGAGCAAUGGCUUGGUGGUUAAGAGCACUGGCUGUUUCUCCAGAGGACCUGAGUUCAAUCCUCAGUACCCCCA
rnacentral:tRNA from 1 species